rnacentral:lncRNA from 1 species
ACCACAUUUCUUUUUAUAGGUUAAAAUAAUUACACAUUUAGUAAAAUUCAUUGUUGAAAAUUCCCGGUACUAAUUAUAUAUAUAUAUAUAAUCAUAAGUUUUGUUUAGAAUUCAAAUUUAAACUUUUUUUAUAUAGAUUACCUCAUUUUAGUUGUAUAAUAUAUUAAUUUAUUUGGUGCUGGAUCAUUUUUGUUUAACAUUACAUCUUCCUUAAAAGAUCAACCAAUCAGAAAAUGGAAUACAGGGAAGUUAUAAAGUUGGACCAGAUAUUAGUGUUUGUCCAAUGAAUAACAUUGUCACAAAGCAAUGAUUAAUAUUUCCCACAACUUUUUUGGUUGACAAUAUGGCCAGUUAAAAUUUGAUUUAUUAUUGAAUUUGUUGGAACUCAGCACAUACUAUAUGUGAUUUUUUAAACAUUGAAUAUGCUUUAAUAUGACAUAAACAGUGCAAGAAGUCAGUUGAUAUUUUUUCAAGAACUGAUAUGUCAAUAGAAAUUUAAUUUCUAAUCAAUUAUUCGAGUUGUCAACUUAAGAAAUUUAAUACAGUUAUAAACAACAAUAACAUAACUUAUGUUAAAGAGCGAUUUUACUCUGCCUGAAUUAAUUUCUGUCAUGUUUAUGAUGAAUUUCUUAAAAAAUAGUUUGAUUCAAAUUGAUAUACACAUGUACAGCAUUGCAUGUUACUAACUUAAAAGCAGAAAAAAAUUAAUCAUGUUUAUAUGUAACUGUUUAACUGCACCUAUUUAAGUAUGUUCAUUGUCAAUGUUUUAAUUUAAGGAGAUUUUAUUUUUCUGGUUCAAGGAAGAUAACCCAAUGUUUCAUUUGCCUUACAAAUGAUGUAA